rnacentral:rRNA from 1 species
CCUACGGGUGGCAGCAGUAGGGAAUAUUGCUCAAUGGGGGAAACCCUGAAGCAGCAACGCCGCGUGGAGGAUGAAGGUUUUAGGAUUGUAAACUCCUUUUGUUAGAGAGGAUUAUGACGGUAUCUAACGAAUAAGCACAGGCUAACUCCGAGCCAGCAGCCGCGGUAAUACGGCGGGUGCAAGCGUUACUCGGAAUCACUGGGCGUAAAGGGUGCGUAGGCGGGGUAAUAAGUCAGAUGUGAAAUCCUGUAGCUUAACUACAGAACUGCAUUUGAAACUGUUGCACUGGAGUGCGGGAGCGGUAGGUGGAAUUCUUAGUGUAGGGGUAAAAUCCGUAGAGAUUA